UGGGGAAUAUUGCACAAUGGGCGCAAGCGUGAUGCAGCAACGCCGCGUGCGGGAUGACGGCCUUCGGGUUGUAAACCGCUUUCAGUAGGGACGAAGCUAACGUGACGGUACCUACAGAAGAAGGACCGGCUAACUACGUGCCAGCAGCCGCGGUGAUACGUAGGGUCCGAGCGUUGUCCGGAAUUAUUGGGCGUAAAGGGCUUGUAGGCGGUCCGUCGCGUCAGGAGUGAAAACUCGGGGCUUAACCCCGAGCCUGCUUUUGAUACGGGCGGACUAGAGGGAUGCAGGGGAGAACGGAAUUCCUGGUGGAGCGGUGGAAUGCGCAGAUAUCAGGAGGAACACCGGUGGCGAAGGCGGUUCUCUGGGCAUCACCUGACGCUGAGAAGCGAAAGCGUGGGGAGCAAACAGGCUUAGAUACCCUGGUAGUCCACGCCGUAAACGGUGGGCACUAGGUGUGGGGGACAUUCCACGUUCUCCGUGCCGAAGCUAACGCAUUAAGUGCCCCGCCUGGGGAGUACGGCCGCAAGGCUA
rnacentral:rRNA from 1 species